AUACAAUAUGGUCCAAGAGAAACAUCAGAAGACAAAAGUAAAUACAAAACUAUUUGUCACAAGGACUUGUAAAGUGGGAGGUUUAAUUGUUUACUGUUAUCAAUAUAGGAAAUGGGUCAAACUUCAGGGCUAAUUUUAAUUCUCUGAUUCUUUUCUUAUUCCAGGGGAAUGGAAAGAUCUAUUUGCAGCCGUGUAAAUUCAUUAUUUCUGGUAAGAGAUAGGCCGAUGUUUCCAUGCGUUUAUGACGAGCUCAGCCCAUGUGUGGCCGGGCCGCCCACAGACUUCCUCUCGCAGCGAGUUUCAACUCGAUUGGACCGAGCUGGGAUUUUACUCAAAAGUCAAGAGAAAACCAUUACGUCUUUGAGUUUUCAUUGAGCGAUAUCUUCAGAGGUUUUUUUCUCUCUGGCUGUGUUUUUUUACAAACUGGAUAAUCUCCAGAUUACGAGCAAAAAAUAAAUAUCAGUCGCUUGCUAUUUACAAAGGAGCCGAGGCGAUGGUUCAGUCCCCAGCUGGCGGGCCGGCCCAGUCGCUGACAAUGGGUCUUAACAGUAAAACCCCUUUGAUGGCGGUCCAGCCACUGACCAUGUGAACGUGACUUCUGCCCCAUUGUGCGAUUCUUUGAUCUCCACUUUCAUAGGUCCGUUCUAAACAGACAAAAGGUAAAUGGGAGAAGAGUGGAGACGUGAGAUAGAUCUGCAGAGUAGCUUGAUUCCAGGGCAUCAGUAAUUUCAGCAAGAAUCGUGAAGGGCCGUUCCUCACCAAAAUAAGAUCCGCACAGAUCUACAUCACUAUACUGUACUGAUUAAGCUCCACCUGAUGCCAUAACUUCCUACCUCCUUGACAAAUUAGAUCAAAAUUACCUCCAGA